GACGAACGCUGGCGGCGUGCUUAACACAUGCAAGUCGAACGGAAAGGCCCUGCUUUUGUGGGGUGCUCGAGUGGCGAACGGGUGAGUAACACGUGAGUAACCUGCCCUUGACUUUGGGAUAACUUCAGGAAACUGGGGCUAAUACCGGAUAGGAGCUCCUGCUGCAUGGUGGGGGUUGGAAAGUUUCGGCGGUUGGGGAUGGACUCGCGGCUUAUCAGCUUGUUGGUGGGGUAGUGGCUUACCAAGGCUUUGACGGGUAGCCGGCCUGAGAGGGUGACCGGCCACAUUGGGACUGAGAUACGGCCCAGACUCCUACGGGAGGCAGCAGUGGGGAAUAUUGCACAAUGGGCGGAAGCCUGAUGCAGCAACGCCGCGUGCGGGAUGACGGCCUUCGGGUGGUAAACCGCUUUCGCCUGUGACGAAGCGUGAGUGACGGUAAUGGGUAAAGAAACACCGGCUAACUACGU
rnacentral:rRNA from 1 species